GAUGAACGCUGGCGGCGUGCCUAAUACAUGCAAGUCGAGCGAACAGAUAAGGAGCUUGCUCCUUUGACGUUAGCGGCGGACGGGUGAGUAACACGUGGGUAACCUACCUAUAAGACUGGGAUAACUUCGGGAAACCGGAGCUAAUACCGGAUAACAUUUGGAACCGCAUGGUUCUAAAGUGAAAGAUGGUUUUGCUAUCACUUAUAGAUGGACCCGCGCCGUAUUAGCUAGUUGGUAAGGUAACGGCUUACCAAGGCGACGAUACGUAGCCGACCUGAGAGGGUGAUCGGCCACACUGGAACUGAGACACGGUCCAGACUCCUACGGGAGGCAGCAGUAGGGAAUCUUCCGCAAUGGGCGAAAGCCUGACGGAGCAACGCCGCGUGAGUGAUGAAGGGUUUCGGAUCGUAAAACUCUGUUAUUAGGGAAGAACAAACGUGUAAGUAACUGUGCACGUCUUGACGGUACCUAAUCAGAAAGCCACGGCUAACUACGUG
rnacentral:rRNA from 1 species